AGAGUUUGAUCCUGGCUCAGGAUGAACGCUAGCGACAGGCUUAACACAUGCAAGUCGAGGGGCAGCGAGGGCGUAGCAAUACGCCUGUCGGCGACCGGCGCACUGGUGAGUAACACGUAUGCGACCUGCCCCCUACAGGGGUAUAACCCGUAGAAAUGCGGACUAAUCCCCCAUAGUCCCGGAGGCUGCAUGGCCUCUGGGGGAAAGGCCAGCCGGUAGGGGAUGGGCAUGCGGCGCAUUAGCUAGUUGGCGGGGCAACGGCCCACCAAGGCGACGAUGCGUAGGGGUUCUGAGAGGAAGGUCCCCCACACUGGUACUGAGACACGGAUCAGACUCCUACGGGAGGCAGCAGUGAGGAAUAUUGGUCAAUGGGCGCAGGCCUGAACCAGCCAAGUCGCGUGAGGGAUGACGGUCCUACGGAUUGUAAACCUCUUUUGUCGGGGAGUAACGUGCGGGACGCGUCCCGUAUUG
rnacentral:rRNA from 1 species